rnacentral:piRNA from 1 species
UAUUAUUGAGUUUUCUGGUCUUUGC